GGGUCAACGAUGAGAUCUUAUAUUUCUCUGAAGAGAGGUGAUGACUUAAAAAUCAUGCUCAAUAGGAUUACGCUGAGGCCC
rnacentral:snoRNA from 1 species